UUUGAGUUAUGGCGAAGAGGUUGAAAAGUAGCACCAGCACUAUCCAAAACUCUACAACUUAUUUGUGUUCAACUGGGAACAGAGGUAAAACUGGAACAGAGAUAGCACUACAGCUGCACCACAUCUGCAAAACAGCCCCACACCUUGUGCCACCAAAAUAUCGUUGCUCUGCACAUAAGUGCAUCUUAUCUCCAACUCCGAAGGCAGCUGGGAAAUGUCCAACGACCCUGGCUCUAUUUCUGCUUCCAACGCAGAGCAUCCAUCAGAGCCUUCCCCAGACUCCAGGACUGGUCUGAGUUCCUCCCCAACCUCUGCCACCAGCUCCACUGGUGGCUGACGAGUCACAACAAUUCUAGAAACUUGCAAGGUUGAUGUCAGCCCUGCCGGGAAAACCAGAAAACAAACACGACUUAGAUGAACUAAAUCUAUUUUACUAAUCUGUUCCUGGUGUUUAUGGUAUAGGAUGGUAGAAAGAGAGAGCAAAUUGGCAGAAUGAGAAGAUAUAAAUGCAGCCCAUUGCAAUCAACAUUUUUUUCUUGCCUCCUGCCUUCUCUUAUUUCAUCUGUACUGAAUUUUACUAUCUUCUAUGUGAUGAUUUUAUCUACGAUUUGCAAAACUUAAC